rnacentral:rRNA from 1 species
GACGAACGCUGGCGGCGUGCCUAAUACAUGCAAGUUGAGCGAUGAAGAUUGGUGCUUGCUCCAAUUUGAAGAGCAGCGAACGGGUGAGUAACGCGUGGGGAAUCUGCCUUUGAGCGGGGGACAACAUUUGGAAACGAAUGCUAAUACCGCAUAACAACUUUAAACAUAAGUUUUAAGUUUGAAAGAUGCAAUUGCAUCACUCAAAGAUGAUCCCGCGUUGUAUUAGCUAGUUGGUGAGGUAAAGGCUCACCAAGGCGAUGAUACAUAGCCGACCUGAGAGGGUGAUCGGCCACAUUGGGACUGAGACACGGCACAAACUCCUACGGGAGGCAGCAGUAGGGAAUCUUCGGCAAUAGACGAAAGUCUGACCGAGCAACGCCGCGUGAGUGAAGAAGGUUUUCGGAUCGUAAAACUCUGUUGGUAGAGAAGAACGUUGGUGAGAGUGGAAAGCUCAUCAAGUGACGGUAACUACCCAGAAAGGGACGGCUAACUACGUG